GAGCUGAAGUAAACAAAAGCUUCUGCACUAAGCACCAAAACAGAGCUUCCGCACUGAGCACAAAACAGAGCUUCCGCACGGCCUGAUACUUUCACCCACACUUCUCUGGCUUCUCACUAGCAUCACCAUGGCUGUCCAGCAUUAAAGUACAAGGUUUUCAGGUGGAAAGAUUACAGGCGAUACUUCCCAUUAUGAUGCUGUAGCAAAUUCAGCUGCAUCUGGAGUACAGUCUGCAGGCCUUAAUUCUGAUAAAUGCUAUUCAUACUAGCUUUUGGAAGAUAUCUAU